GACAUCAUUUCUUCAAUGAACUUAGUAUUUAGAAAGAUAUCUUCACUCCAAGCAUCAAGUCUUUUCUGUCCUGCAAAAGUCUUAAGUCAAACCAGAAUCCACUAGUAGAGGGCACCUUUGGAUUCAACAGUAAAAGGAGAAUCUACAAAACCAGCUCAUCAAAAGGAUAUUGAAUGAAGCUAUGAUACCUGUAGCAGUUACUGCCAUUUUGGACCCAUAAACUGACAAUCCUUAAACAUUACCAGGAGGGCAGAGCGGAAAGAACAUUGAUGUCAUCACUGAG
rnacentral:lncRNA from 1 species